rnacentral:rRNA from 1 species
UACGAAGGGGGCUAGCGUUGUUCGGAAUCACUGGGCGUAAAGGGCGCGUAGGCGGCCGAUCAAGUCGGGGGUGAAAGCCUGUGGCUCAACCACAGAAUUGCCUUCGAUACUGGUUGGCUUGAGACCGGAAGAGGUAAGUGGAACUGCGAGUGUAGAGGUGAAAUUCGUAGAUAUUCGCAAGAACACCAGUGGCGAAGGCGGCUCACUGGCCCGAUACUGACGCUGAGGCACGAAAGCGUGGGGAGCAAACAGG